UCGAGAAUCUUCGGCAAUGGGCGCAAGCCUGACCGAGCGACGCCGCGUGCGGGAUGAAGGCCUUCGGGUUGUAAACCGCUGUCGGAGGGGAGGAAAUGCGCGGGGGUUCUCCCUCGCGUUUGACCUAGCCUCAAAGGAAGGACGGGCUAAGUUCGUGCCAGCAGCCGCGGUAAGACGAACUGUCCAAACGUUACUCGGAAUUACUGGGCUUAAAGGGUGCGUAGGCGGCUCAGAAAGUUGGGUGUGAAAGCCCUCGGCUUAACCGAGGAGGGUCGCACAAAACUACUGAGCUUGAGGAAGACAGAGGUGCGCGGAACUUGCGGUGGAGCGGUGAAAUGCGUUGAUAUCGCAAGGAACACCAGGGGCGAAAGCGGCGCACUGGGUCUUUUCUGACGCUGAGGCACGAAAGCUAGGGGAGCGAAGAGGAU
rnacentral:rRNA from 1 species